AUGCCAUUAUCUUUAUCAUUCCAAUUCCAACAAUUUAGAACAACAACACCAAUGUCAUCAUUAUUAAACAACCCACAACAAGAGCUACAUCAUCAACAAAUAGAACCACAACAAAUGGUAGUGAAGAAUGCUUACCAAGCAAUGAGGAAGGAGGAGUCACUUAUGGUGUUGGCCGGUGGUAGCUGUGGGUUGUAG